AUACUUACCUUGUGAGAGCGACCGUGAUCAAGAAGACGGUUUGCUAUUGAGGACUCUCUCCAUUGCACAUCGGGGUAGAGGCUUUAAUCCAAUGUCCUUCGGGGCUUUGGCUUGCGCAAUUUUUGUCUCGCUUCUUCCACAGAAGAACUUUUC
rnacentral:snRNA from 17 species